AAGCUCAGUAAGGUCGAGGUGUCUCCUCAGAUGUUGAGGUGUCUCCUCAGAUGUUGAGGUGCCUGGUCUUUGAGCAGUGCUGGUUCAGUCGUCGCUGAUCCGUCACGUUCGUCCUCACAUGGGGAAAAGCAGGAAGCCACUGAAGGUGCUGUGGUGGUUGCUGUUGUCCCAGAUCUGAGUGUUGUCCCACAGCACCAUCUUCAGCUUGUCGCCCCGCUCCAGCAGCAGGGCGGCGCCGUUGGACGCCGUGUCGCUGCCCUCGCCAGACGGCUGCUCGUGGGCGAUCAGCUGGAUCUCGACCUCGUUUUUGUAGAGCACGGCGCU